GACGAACGCUGGCGGCGUGCCUAAUACAUGCAAGUCGAACGCUUUUUCUUUCACCGGAGCUUGCUCCACCGAAAGAAAAAGAGUGGCGAACGGGUGAGUAACACGUGGGUAACCUGCCCAUCAGAAGGGGAUAACACUUGGAAACAGGUGCUAAUACCGUAUAACACUAUUUUCCGCAUGGAAGAAAGUUGAAAGGCGCUUUUGCGUCACUGAUGGAUGGACCCGCGGUGCAUUAGCUAGUUGGUGAGGUAACGGCUCACCAAGGCAACGAUGCAUAGCCGACCUGAGAGGGUGCUCGGACACACUGGGACUGAGACACGGCCCAGACUCCUACGGGAGGCAGCAGUAGGGAAUCUUCGGCAAUGGACGAAAGUCUGACCGAGCAACGCCGCGUGAGUGAAGAAGGUUUUCGGAUCGUAAAACUCUGUUGUUAGAGAAGAACAAGGAUGAGAGUAGAACGUUCAUCCCUUGACGGUAUCUAACCAGAAAGCCACGGCUAACUACGUGCCAGCCGCCGCGGUAA
rnacentral:rRNA from 1 species